rnacentral:rRNA from 1 species
UACGUAGGGUGCGAGCGUUGUCCGGAAUUAUUGGGCGUAAAGAGCUCGUAGGCGGUUUGUCACGUCUGCUGUGAAAUCCCGAGGCUCAACCUCGGGCCUGCAGUGGGUACGGGCAGACUGGAGUGCGGUAGGGGAGAAUGGAAUUCCUGGUGUAGCGGUGGAAUGCGCAGAUAUCAGGAGGAACACCGAUGGCGAAGGCAGUUCUCUGGGAAUAUCCUGACGCUGAGGAGCGAAAGUGUGGGGAGCGAACAGG